CUAGAGGAUGUCAGGCUCUCAUGCCACUCUCAUAGAGUCUUCUUCUGACACCAGUAGCCUACUGGAGGUCAUUUUGCUGGGUCUGGUAGUACUUCUCCUCUUUAAAAAAGAAACUGCUUAAUUGUUUUCCUCCUUAGUCCCUGUCCAACUCUCCUCAUGUGACCGGCUAUCUCUGGUAUCUCCUCCAUACUCUUGAUAAUGUGCAUGGAAGACACUCUAAACCUCCUCGAGAUGGCACGCAUGGAUGUGACUGCAUGGAGAAGCUGGACUACCUCUGCCAACUGAUUGAGAUGCAGUUGGCACAGAGGCAAAGCAAGCUCAGGAUCCUGCAGGUGAAUUACAGGCGAGCAGGAGAUUCAGUGUUGCACUGCAACGAAGAAGCUUCUGCGUUAGGUGUCUCCAGACCAGCAGAGGUCUCUAUGAUGUGGAGGCCUCAACUGAUACCUGCAGAGCUGAACUGCAGCAUCUGUGAUCCACAUGGAUCUCUGAAGGAGAACAAUUCAAGAUAAAAAAAAGGUUUCAGGUGGAUGCUUUUAUUUAUCAGUGACAGCAUGGAAAUAAAAUCGUCCAUCACCACCAACUAACCUGGUGACUGUUUCCCAAAUUCACUGUCAAGUUUCCACAUGUUGGGUGACCUCUACUAGUGAUCAUUGUUCUGUGAUGUCUUGGAGAGUUUUUCUGUUUGGUUGGUAUGUUCUACAGAUGUGUGAAUGAAAGUUGGACAGGACCUUCUAGACAACUAGCUGGUAAUUGAACUAAAGCCAGUCAGAUUUGGACUUUAAUGAAUUACGCAGAUUUCUACUGAGCACUAAAUGUUUUGUAUGUGUAGGUGUUUUUACCAAAAAUCGUGUAUAUUUGGGGGUGAUUUUGUUUGAGAAUUUGUGGCUGUCCAUGUUUGGCUGUUAGUGUAAUGAGUGGAUUUUAUGAUGCCUAAUGUGCUGGAGAAGCAAGAAAGCACAAGAGGACAGAGAUUAAAAGAUUAAUGAUCGUUUAAAAUUUUUUUUACAAUACUGUAUGACAGAACAGUCUGAAACAAUGAUAAACAUGUUUAAAGGGUAUUAAAUAUUAAAUUAUUUUAUUUUAUUAUUAUUUUUUUUAAA